UAAGGAAUAUUGGUCAAUGGACGCAAGUCUGAACCAGCCAUGCCGCGUGAAGGAUGAAGGUCCUCUGGAUUGUAAACUUCUUUUAUCUGGGACGAGAACGGGAUUUUUAUCUCAAUUGACGGUACCAGAGGAAUAAGCACCGGCUAACUCCGUGCCAGCAGCCGCGGUAAUACGGAGGGUGCGAGCGUUAUCCGGAUUUACUGGGUUUAAAGGGUGCGUAGGUGGGCUUAUAAGUCAGUGGUGAAAUCUCCGAGCUUAACUUGGAAACUGCCGUUGAUACUAUAGGUCUUGAAUUAUCUGGAGGUAAGCGGAAUAUGUCAUGUAGCGGUGAAAUGCUUAGAUAUGACAUAGAACACCAAUUGCGAAGGCAGCUUACUACAUAUAAAUUGACGCUGAGGCACGAAAGCGUGGGGAUCAAACA
rnacentral:rRNA from 1 species